rnacentral:rRNA from 1 species
CCUACGGUGUGCAGCAGUGAGGAAUAUUGGUCAAUGGCCGAGAGGCUGAACCAGCCAAGUCGCGUGAGGGAAGACGGCCCUACGGGUUGUAAACCUCUUUUGUCGGGGAGCAAAGCGAGUCACGUGUGACUCAUUGAGAGUACCCGAAGAAAAAGCAUCGGCUAACUACGUGCCAGCAGCCGCGGUAAUACGUAGGGGGCGAGCGUUAUCCGGAAUUACUGGGGGUAAAGGGAGCGUAGACGGCGAGGUAAGCCUGAAGUGGAAGCCCGCGGCCCAACCGCGGAACUGCUUUGGGAACUGUUUUGCUGGAGUAUGGGAGGGGUAAGCGGAAUUCCUGGUGUAGCGGUGAAAUGCGUAGAUAUCAGGAGGAACACCGGUGGCGAAGGCGGCUUACUGGACCAUAACUGACGUUGAGGCUCGAAAGCGUGGGGAGCGAACAGGAUUAGAUACCCCUGUAGUC